GAAUAUUGCGCAAUGGGCGCAAGCCUGAUGCAGCGACGCCGCGUGGGGGAUGACGGCCUUCGGGUUGUAAACUCCUUUCUACAGGGACGAAGCGCUAUAGUGAGGGUACCUGUAGAAGAAGCACCGGCUAACGCACUCCCAGCCGCCGCGGUAAUACGUAGGGUGCGAGCGUUGUCCGGAAUUACUGGGCGUAAAGAGCUCGUAGGUGGUUUGUCGCGUCGUCUGUGAAAUCCCGGGGCUUAACCUCGGGCGUGCAGGCGAUACGGGCAUAACUUGUGUGCUGUAGGGGAGACUGGAAUUCCUGGUGUAGCGGUGAAAUGCGCAGAUAUCAGGAGGAACACCAAUGGCGAAGGCAGGUCUCUGGGCAGUAACUGACGCUGAGGAGCGAAAGCAUGGGUAGCGAAC
rnacentral:rRNA from 1 species